UACGGAGGGGGCUAGCGUUGUUCGGAAUUACUGGGCGUAAAGCGCACGUAGGCGGCUAUUCAAGUCAGAGGUGAAAGCCUGGAGCUCAACUCCAGAACUGCCUUUGAAACUAGAUAGCUAGAAUCAUGGAGAGGUGGGUGGAAUUCCGAGUGUAGAGGUGAAAUUCGUAGAUAUUCGGAAGAACACCAGUGGCGAGGGCGGCCCACUGGACAUGUAUUGACGCUGAGGUGCGAAAGCGUGGGGAGCAAACAGG
rnacentral:rRNA from 1 species